rnacentral:rRNA from 1 species
UACAGGGGGGGCAAGCGUUGUUCGGAAUUACUGGGCGUAAAGGGCCAGUAGGCGGCCAACUAAGUCCGACGUGAAAUCCCCAGGCUUAACCUGGGAACUGCGUUGCGACUGUGAUGGCUUGAAUUCGGGAGAGGGAUGCAGAAUUCCAGGUGUAGCGGUGAAAUGCGUAGAUAUCUGGAGGAAUACCGGUGGCGAAGGCGGCAUCCUGGACCGAAACUGACGCUGAGGCACGAAAGCUAGGGUAGCGAACGGG